rnacentral:rRNA from 1 species
UUGGGACUGAGACACGGCCCAAACUCCUACGGGAGGCAGCAGUAGGGAAUUUUCGUCAAUGGGGGGAACCCUGAACGAGCAAUGCCGCGUGAGUGAAGACGGUCUUCGGAUUGUAAAGCUCUGUUGUGAGAGAAAAAGGAUAUAUAUAGGAAAUGAUAUGUAUUUGAUGGUAUCUCACCAGAAAGUCACGGCUAACUACGUGCCAGCAGCCGCGGUAAUACGUAGGUGGCGAGCGUUAUCCGGAAUGAUUGGGCGUAAAGGGUACGUAGGCGGCAUGAUAAGUCUGGAGUGAAAGGCUACAGCUCAACUGUAGUAUGCUCUGGAAACUGUCAAGCUAGAGUGCAGAAGAGGGCAAUGGAACUCCAUGUGUAGCGGUAAAAUGCGUAGAUAUAUGGAAGAACACCGGUGGCGAAGGCGGUUGCCUGGUCUGAAACUGACGCUGAAGUACGAAAGCGUGGGGAGCAAAUAGGAUUAGAUACCCUAGUAGUCCACGCCGU